AGAGUUUGAUCCUGGCUCAGAUUGAACGCUGGCGGCAGGCCUAACACAUGCAAGUCGAGCGGUAGAGAGAAGCUUGCUUCUCUUGAGAGCGGCGGACGGGUGAGUAAUGCCUAGGAAUCUGCCUGGUAGUGGGGGAUAACGUUCGGAAACGGACGCUAAUACCGCAUACGUCCUACGGGAGAAAGCAGGGGACCUUCGGGCCUUGCGCUAUCAGAUGAGCCUAGGUCGGAUUAGCUAGUUGGUGAGGUAAUGGCUCACCAAGGCGACGAUCCGUAACUGGUCUGAGAGGAUGAUCAGUCACACUGGAACUGAGACACGGUCCAGACUCCUACGGGAGGCAGCAGUGGGGAAUAUUGGACAAUGGGCGAAAGCCUGAUCCAGCCAUGCCGCGUGUGUGAAGAAGGUCUUCGGAUUGUAAAGCACUUUAAGUUGGGAGGAAGGGUUGUAGAUUAAUACUCUGCAAUUUUGACGUUACCGACAGAAUAAGCACCGGCUAACUCUGUGCCAGCAGCCGCGGUAAUACAGAGGGUGCAAGCGUUAAUCGGAAUUACUGGGCGUAAAGCGCGCGUAGGUGGUUUGUUAAGUUGGAUGUGAAAUCCCCGGGCUCAACCUGGGAACUGCAUUCAAAACUGACUGACUAGAGUAUGGUAGAGGGUGGUGGAAUUUCCUGUGUAGCGGUGAAAUGCGUAGAUAUAGGAAGGAACACCAGUGGCGAAGGCGACCACCUGGACUAAUACUGACACUGAGGUGCGAAAGCGUGGGGAGCAAACAGGAUUAGAUACCCUGGUAGUCCACGCCGUAAACGAUGUCAACUAGCCGUUGGAAGCCUUGAGCUUUUAGUGGCGCAGCUAACGCAUUAAGUUGACCGCCUGGGGAGUACGGCCGCAAGGUUAAAACUCAAAUGAAUUGACGGGGGCCCGCACAAGCGGUGGAGCAUGUGGUUUAAUUCGAAGCAACGCGAAGAACCUUACCAGGCCUUGACAUCCAAUGAGCUUUCUAGAGAUAGAUUGGUGCCUUCGGGAACAUUGAGACAGGUGCUGCAUGGCUGUCGUCAGCUCGUGUCGUGAGAUGGUGGGUUAAGUCGCGUAACGAGCGCAACCCUUGUCCUUAUUUACCACCACGUUAUGGUGGGCACUCUAAGGAGACUGCCGGUGACAAACCGCGACGAAAAGUGGCGAUGACCUCCAGUCGUCAUGGUCAUUACGGUCUGGGCGAGAACCAUGCUACUAUGGUCUGCAGAUAGGUCCCCAACUCUCGAGCUGCAGGUAAUCCCAUAAAACCGAUCGUAGUCCGGAUCGCAGUCUGCAACUCGACUGCGUGAAGUCGGAAUCGCUAGUAAUCGCGAAUCAGAAUGUCGCGGUGAAUACGUUCCCGGGCCUUGUACACACCGCCCGUCACACCAUGGGAGUGGGUUGCACCAGAAGUAGCUAGUCUAACCUUCGGGAGGACGGUUACCACGGUGUGAUUCAUGACUGGGGUGAAGUCGUAACAAG
rnacentral:rRNA from 2 species